AGCAGUAAUCUCUGUUCAUAUUCCAUGAAAGAGUUUUUGGAUAAGAUCUUUUACCGUAGUAAUCACAAAUCCUAGACGACUGUGCUCUUGGACAGAAAUUUCUGAUCAAAGCAUUUCCCUUCUUAAAUUCAAGAGAAUGCUUACAGUAGGUCCCUCAUCGAGUGUUUGUGAUUACUACGGUCAGGAAUCUUAUCCAGAGACAAUUCAUGGAAUAUGAGCUGAGAUUGGUGUCUA